UGUCCGUAGUUCAACGGUCCUGGGCGCCCCCCUGGAGGACCCAUUUACAAACCACACCUCGACGUGGGGGAUCCCGAGUUCGAUUCUCGACGGAGUAA